UGCCGAGAGGCAAGUGAAGCCGCUCCACCUGCCUCUGAUCUUCCAGGUGGUCUUGAAGAAGCUUAGAGGAAUAAACAAGCAUCUGGGCCCAGGAGCCCUGGAGGUGUAAGGCUUUCAGGCUGUCCCAGGGGAGGAACUUCUGUGGUUAUGAAGCCAGCUGCCUCUUGCCGUCCUUUCUACGAAUCCAUGAGAAGUUGGGUUCACAUCCGGGAGAAGCCAGCAGAAGGCUGGAAGAGCAUUCCUGCCCAAGUCCUCUCCACCUGGACUUUGCAACCUGAGCAAGAGCCUGAGCUCUUUCACCCUGCCCUGCCCCCACCAGCACUGUGACUGUGUGAGACAGUUCACCCGAUGAUCACUAUAGUGUGGAGCCACACUGAAGCAGACGACAAGAAUGUGGAGGAACCAACAAAGCUGGUUUCCUGGGAAGGCCAGUAUCAUCACUCCUGGACAGAACCAAGCCCAGCUUCUUUUCCCUUCCCCUUCUCUCUGCCUGCCUUCCUCCCUCCCCUCCUCCCACCCCCAACAUUUAGUUUUUUAGUUGGUACUCAUUCUUGACACAUACACCCCUUCUUCCUCCUGCCUAUUAGUACAAGCUUCUCUCUGUUGUAAUGAGGCUUUGAAAGACAACCUGGGAACAAGUCAAGGUAAAAAACAGCCAAGAGCAAAUAGUUUAGGGUUUUAGCUCCUAGUGAAGAGACAGCCUGUCAACCUGUCCCACUCACCUUUAAAAACCCCACAGAGUUGUGCAGAGUAUGUGUUGAAUAAUCUGAUCUUGCUUCACAAUGUGUUAGAUCCACUGGCUCUUAAAAGAAGCUGUUUGCUAGAUUAUUUUCAUAACUGUCUGUUUUGUAAACUUAAAUUUACA